UGGCGCACAGGUGCGUAACGCGUGGGAAUCUGCCCCUUGGUUCGGAAUAACAGUUGGAAACGACUGCUAAUACCGGAUGAUGACGUAAAAUCCAAAGAUUUAUCGCCGAGGGAUGAGCCCGCGUAGGAUUAGGUAGUUGGUGUGGUAAAGGCGCACCAAGCCGACGAUCCUUAGCUGGUCUGAGAGGAUGAUCAGCCACACUGGGACUGAGACACGGCCCAGACUCCUACGGGAGGCAGCAGUGGGGAAUAUUGGACAAUGGGCGAAAGCCUGAUCCAGCAAUGCCGCGUGAGUGAUGAAGGCCUUAGGGUUGUAAAGCUCUUUUACCCGGGAUGAUAAUGACAGUACCGGGAGAAUAAGCUCCGGCUAACUCCGUGCCA
rnacentral:rRNA from 1 species